AAGAAAAGGGCAUAUUCCCUUUCCUCUCUCCCUUAUUUUCCAGCUAGACUCUGGACAAGGUGCUGAGCUAUCUUGAAUCGUACAGUUGAGGACAAUACUCUAAGGAUGGUUCUGCAUGGAAUCCAACGCUCAUAUGAUACAUCUGAGCUGCCCAAGCCAUUUUUCUGUCGUGUCCUACCCAGGAGUGAUCUACUAAAAACAAGGGAUUCUAGAGAUAUAAUUUUCAAUAUUUUCAUGAAAAGGGGCUAUUUUGAUUCUUCACAGAAGCACUCAGGAGAGGAAGGUUUGAAAUUAUUUUAGAGUCUCCUGCCA